AAUUGUCGCAAAAAUGACCUUGCGAAUAUUUUUUCGUAAAAUCUAUCUUUAAAUUGACUUGCUUCUCGGAUCAAAAUUGAGCGUGGGCAUGGAAAAACAUACCAAAAAAUACUCUGACAAAAGGAUGACUAAAAGUAACAUAAGUUUGAACCAGACAGAAAAAAAUGAUUUUCACCACAAGUUAAAAAACACAUCUACUGAUAAUGAAAAUCUGAAAAACGAACAAAUCUUAGGUAAAUUUAAAAAAACACGAGAGAAGCGAAUUACAUAUACCAAGGAACAAAAAAAGUUCUUGGAAAAUUCUUUUAUGACGUCAGACUUUCGAAAAACAAAUAUUUGUGAAAAAAUAGCUGAUCAAUUGCAAUUACCAGUUUCUAAA